GGCGAUGGAGCCACCAGAGGGCCGCUCUGUCUGACGCGCGCACCUCUGUGGUACCAGGCCGCAGGCGCCGCCACCGUCGCACUUCCGGGUGCUGUUGCAGGAUGCAGAAAGCCUCAGUGCUGCUCUUUCUGGCCUGGGUCUGCUUCCUCUUCUACACUGGCAUUACCCUCUUCACCAGUGGCUUCCUGCUCACCCGUAUGGAGCUCACCAACCAUAGCAGCUGCCAAGAGCCUCCAGGCCCUGGGUCCCUGCCACCGGGGAGCCAAGGGAAACCUGGGGCCUGCUGGAUGGCUUCCCGAUUUUCACGGGUUGUGUUGGUGCUAAUAGAUGCUCUGCGAUUUGACUUCGCCCAGCCCCAGCACUCACAUGCACCUGGAGAGCCUCCUGUCUCCCUACCCUUCCUGGGCAAAUUAAGCUCCUUGAAGAGGAUCCUGGAGAUUCAGCCCCACCAUGCCCGGCUCUACCGAUCUCAGGUUGACCCGCCUACCACUACCAUGCAGCGCCUCAAGGCCCUCACCACUGGCUCACUGCCUACCUUUAUUGAUGCUGGUAGUAACUUCGCCAGCCAUGCCAUAGUGGAAGACAAUCUCAUUAAACAGCUCACCAGUGCAGGAAGGCGUGUAGUCUUUAUGGGAGAUGAUACCUGGAAAGACCUUUUCCCUGGAGCUUUCUCCAAAGCUUUCUUCUUCCCAUCCUUCAAUGUCAGAGACCUAGACACGGUGGACGAUGGCAUCCUGGAACACCUCUAUCCCACCAUGGACAGUGGUGAAUGGGACGUGCUGAUUGCUCACUUCCUGGGUGUGGACCACUGUGGCCAUAAGCAUGGCCCUCACCACCCUGAAAUGGCCAAGAAACUUAGCCAGAUGGACCAGGUGAUCCAGGGACUUGUGGAGCAUCUGGAGAAUGACACACUGCUAGUAGUGGCUGGGGACCAUGGGAUGACCACGAAUGGAGACCAUGGAGGGGACAGCGAGCUGGAGGUCUCAGCUGCACUCUUUCUGUACAGCCCCACAGCACUCUUCCCCAGCACCCCACCAGAGGAGCCAGAGGUGAUUCCUCAAGUUAGCCUUGUGCCCACACUGGCCUUGCUGCUAGGCCUGCCUAUCCCAUUUGGGAACAUCGGGGAAGUGAUGGCUGAGGUAUUCUCAGGGGGUGAGGACUCCCAGCCCCUCUCCUCUGCUUUAGCCCAAGCCUCAGCUCUCCAUCUCAAUGCUCAGCAGGUGUCCAGAUUUCUUCAUACAUACUCAGCUGCUACUGAGAACCUUCAAGCUAAGAAGCUUCAUCAGCUACAGAAACUCUUCUCCAAGGCCUCUGCUGACUACCAGUGGCUUCUGCAGAGGCCCAAAGGGGCUGAAGCGACACUGCCGACUGUGAUUGCUGAGCUGCAGCAGUUCCUGCGGGGAGCUCGGGCCAUGUGCAUCGAGUCUUGGGCUCGUUUCUCUCUGGUCCGCAUGGCGGGGGGUGCUGCUCUUUUGGCUGCUGCCUGCUUUAUCUGCCUGAUGGCAUCCCAGUGGGCAAUAUCCCCAGGCUUCCCAUUCUGCCCUCUACUCCUGAUACCUGUGGCCUGGGGCCUGGUUGGGGCCACAGUGUAUGCUGUACUCCUGGGAACUAUUGAGCUGAAGCUAGAUCUAGUGCUUCUAGGAGCUGUGGCUGCAGUAAGCUCAUUCCUGCCUUUUCUGUGGAAAGCCUGGGCUGGCUGGGGGUCUAAGAGGCCCCUGGCAACCCUCUUUCCCAUCCCUGGGCCCGUCCUAUUAUUUCUGCUCAUUCGCUUGGCUGUGUUCUUCUCUGAUAGUUUUGUUGUAGCUGAGGCCAGGGCCACCCCCUUCCUUUUGGGCUCAUUCAUCCUGCUCCUGGUUGUCCAGCUUCACUGGGAGGGCCAGCUCCUUCCACCUAAGCUGCUCCCAAUGCCCCGCCUUGCCACUUCAGCCACAGCAAACUCCCCACGGCACAAUGGUGCAUAUGCCCUGAGGCUUGGAGUUGGGUUGCUUUUAUGUACAAGGCUAGCUGGGCUCUUUCAUCGUUGCCCUGAAGAGACACCUGUUUGCCACUCCUCUCCCUGGCUGAGUCCUCUGGCAUCCAUGGUGGGUGGUCGAGCCAAGAAUUUGUGGUAUGGAGCUUGUGUGGCGGCGCUGGUGGCCCUGUUAGCUGCUGUGCGCUUGUGGCUUCACCGCUAUGGUAAUCUCAAGAGCCCUGAGCCGCCCAUGCUCUUUGUGCGCUGGGGACUGCCCCUGAUGGCAUUGGGUACUGCUGCCUACUGGGCAUUGGCUUCGGGGGCAGAUGAGGUGACCCCCCGUCUCCGGGCCCUGGUCUCUGGGGCAUCUGUGGUGCUGCCUCGGGCUGUAGUAGGGCUGGCUGCUUCAGGGCUCGCGCUGCUGCUCUGGAAGCCUGUGACGGUGCUGGUGAAGGCUGGGGCAGGCGCUCCAAGGACCAGGACUGUCCUCACUCCCUUCUCAGGCCCCCCCACUUCUCAAGCUGACCUGGAUUAUGUGGUCCCUCAAAUCUACCGACACAUGCAGGAGGAGUUCCGGGGCCGGCUAGAGAGGACCAAAUCUCAGGGUCCCCUGACUGUGGCUGCUUAUCAGUUGGGGAGUGUCUACUCAGCUGCAGUGGUCACAGCCCUCACCCUGUUGGCCUUCCCACUUCUGCUGUUGCAUGCAGAGCGCAUCAGCCUUGUGUUCCUGCUUCUGUUUGUGCAGAGCUUCCUUCUCCUACAUCUGCUUGCUGCUGGGAUACCCAUCACCACCUCUGGUCCUUUUACUGUGCCAUGGCAGGCAGUCUCGGCUUGGGCCCUCAUGGCCACACAGACCUUCUAUUCCACAGGCCAUCAGCCUGUCUUUCCGGCCAUCCAUUGGCAUGCAGCCUUUGUGGGAUUCCCAGAGGGUCAUGGCUCCUGUACUUGGCUGCCUGCUUUGCUAGUGGGAGCCAACACCUUUGCCUCCCACCUCCUCUUUGCAGGCAGUAGGUUGCCCACUGCUCCUGCUCUGGCCUUUCCUGUGUGAGAGUCAAGGGUUGCGGAAGAGACAGCAGUCCCCAGGGAAUGAAGCUGAAGCCAGAGUCAGACCGGAGGAGGAGGAGGAGCCACUGAUGGAGAUGCGGCUCCGGGAUGCGCCUCACCACUUCUAUGCAGCACUGCUGCAGCUGGGCCUCAAGUACCUCUUUAUCCUUGGUGUUCAGAUUCUGGCCUGUGCCUUGGCAGCCUCCAUCCUUCGCAGGCAUCUCAUGGUCUGGAAAGUGUUUGCCCCUAAGUUCAUUUUUGAGGCUGUGGGCUUCAUUGUGAGCAGCGUGGGACUUCUCCUGGGCAUAGCUUUGGUGAUGAGAGUUGAUGGUGCUGUGAGCUCCUGGUUCAGGCAGCUAUUUCUGGCCCAGCAGAGGUAGCCUAGGCUGUAGUUACUGGCAUAUGGCUACAGAGAGUGCUGGAGAACAGUGCAGCCUGGCCUGUACAGGUAAUGGAUGAUCUGCAAGACAGGCUCAGCCAUACCUCUUACUACCAUGCAGCCAGGGGCUGCUGACUUCUAGGACUUCAUUAUUCUAUGAUUCAGGACCACAGUGGAGUAUGAUCCCUAACUCCUGAUUUGGAUGCAUCUGAGGGACGAGGGGAAUGGUCUCUGAAGUGGAAUAAAAUAGGCCGGGCAUGGUGGCUCACACCUGUAUUCCCAGUACUUUGGGAGGCAGAGGCAGGAGGACUGCUUGAGUCCAAGAGUUCAAGACCAGCCUGUGGAACAUGGCAAGACCCUGUCGCUACGAUUUGAAAAAAAGUGGAAUAAAAUGAUAAUAUAACUAUGUGUGUCUGAGAUAUGGGGGAGCCCCACUGUUCUUUAUGGGUUGUGAGAAGGAUCAGUCUCUCCUCCUACCUGGCACAGAUGAGAUCAGUCAUCUUGGGCCUGGCUGCACCUGAGAACCUUUAGGAAGUGGUUGGAAUUCUUGAAUUCACUGCCUCCACUUCUUCCCAAAUCAAUCCUAUUAUCCCAUUGCCAUUUUCCUUUGCCAUGCAACACAUUUUGUUAAGUUCCUGUGCUUUGAUAAAGAGAAAACACCAAGUAAACAAGCCCAGGCAUCAUGCAGCACUGACUUUAACUGUCUGAAGCCCCAAAUAGUGCUAUGCUUCUCCUCCACUGGGUCUUUUCACUACAGAACACCCAUUUCCCUUCCCUUCUGUGGAAGCCUCCCUUGUUUCCCACAGGUGCUGCUCUUUAUCAGAUCUACAUGCCCAUCUUAUGUAGCAUUCCACCUUGUCCCAUUCAUUAUUCCUGACUUGAAGCCAAAAUUGUGUGAGUCCAGUGCUUCUCAUGUAUGUGUUUUGUGCUCUCUGUUCACCCCACCACUCCUGUCAUGUUUGAAAUGCUGGCAUGAGAUCCUCCUAGAGAUGUCCAUCAAAAGAGUUGGGAAGAGGCCCUGGAGAGAAGGGUCAGGACUAGGAUUUGAAGUUUGACAGUACCCAGAACAGGACAAGCUGGGACCACUGAAAACCAGAAGAGAUGGUCAAACCAUGGGAUAGCACCUACUUUUAGUUGGCAGAAAGUAGAGAAGCUGAGUAGUAGUGCUUGUGAAGUAUAAAUGUUCACUGCUGUGGUAGGUAGCUAAGGGAAUAAUUCAAAUUAUUUUUAUCGUUACUGUCAUUUUAGAGACAAAUUUUUGCUUUGUUACCCAGGCUGGAGGGAGUAGUGUAAUCAUAGCUCCCUGUAGUUUCAAACUCCUGGGCUCAAGUGAUCCAUCUCAGCCUCCUCAGUAUCUGGGAUGAUGACUGGCUAAUUUUU